rnacentral:sRNA from 1 species
GAGCCUUUAUUCUGUCAUCUUUUGGCUCUUUAAAAAUCAUUGCAUAUUCCAUCUCUUUUAAAUUAUUGAUUAGAUAUAUGAGGAACUUAUAAUAGCAAGUUAAGCCAUGAAAGUAAUAACCACUUUUUGGGAUAAAUAAAAGGAGAUUUGAAAAACAAUACUUAGCGUUCUAGAUUUAUUAGAUCCUGCAUCUUUUGUCUCUAUCUUUAAAUGGUUUUCACUUUCUUGCCUUUCCACUUGAGAUUCUUUUUUAAAUUGUCAGAAAAUAUGAACUGGUAGAUCCUGUUUAUUUUCAUUGACCAAGUCAUCUUUAUUUCAGAUUACUUUAUAUAGAGUUUUCGGUAGGCUCUAUUAUUUCAAUGAAUCUCUGAAUAAUAUCAAUGUUUUGUGUGUUUUUAAAUAGCUCAAGUAAUUCUGUAACCUGAAUUUUAAUUACAGUGCUAUCAUAUAUUUACUUGGCAUUAAAUCUUUCACAUAUGUAAUUAUUACAGACAUCACAGCGAUUUUCGUCAGUUGAUGAACAAGCAAAACUUCAUAAGACUAUGUCUCAAGGAGAGAUUACCAAGUUGGCAGUGAGACAGAAGGCUUCAGAUUCAGAUAUAAGACCUCAGAGAGCUAAGAUGAGAUUCUGGGCCAAAGG